rnacentral:misc_RNA from 1 species
CAUCUUUUUGGGAUGUGUUGCCAUGGCAACGAAAGACUGGGUUGCUUGCGGUUGCAUGUACAUAACCAGAAGAGACAGAGAGAGAGAGAGAGAGAGUGAGUGGUCUCUCCUUAAAACCUAGCAGUCUUUUGUUCGACGCAGUGUCAAUGCGUCGCUCAGUGAAAGCAAAAGUUCAAAAAUCACGCUGCUCUUAACGACAUUUUCAGCUUGUUUGCUGGACACACCGUCUGCAAGACGACAAAGUUUGACGGCAAUCACCAAACCGAUCUACUUGCAACAAUGUUUGAAGACAACACGUGAAUCCGCAUCGGUUCUUACAGAGUCGCUCGUACUUAAAAGGGCCAAAUAUGGUCAACAUGUUUUCUUCACGUUGGCUCCGCCCAUCAUGCGGCUUUCACGCUGUCUGGCUAUUAGUGAACGGCAUCAUUUUCUGGAACACUUAUCGACUCUACAAAGGCCAGCCUCAAUAUUAUUACCUCUACCAAAUAUUGGGAAGCGGACUUUGCAUUUCACGCGGUUCGGGAGCCGUUUUGAACGUGAGCUGCGCUCUUAUUCUGCUUCCGACCUGCAAGCAGGCAAUCACCAGCAUCCACCUUUGCUGUUGCCAUUUUUUGAACAAAUGCGGCCUAUCGUCCCGUCGAAUCCGAUCAUUUUUCAAUCAAACUGAGCGUUUUCACAUCACUUGCGCUAUAACCGUCAUCUUCGCAUCGGUUGUUCACACUGGGGCGCAUUUGGUUAACGCAGUCAAUUGUUCCCGCUAUUACAACCAUCGAUGGCCUGAUGUCAACAUCGCCGAUUCUCCCGGUCAGGAUGCUUUCCAAUUAGUUUUCAAAACAGUUCCAGGAAUUACGGGAGUGCUGAUGAUGCUGAUCCUGGCCUUGAUACUGGUGACAUCUGCCAGUUGGUUCCGCACCCGUCACUACAAUACUUUUUAUUACAGCCAUCACUUCCUUUUCGGCCCCUUUUUAGUCCUGCUUGUUUUCCAUCCCACAAGUGGGAUGCUGAAGGAGCAAACAAAUUGGCGUGACCAUUGGCCAGGAAACGCUGACGAUGAAGAUAGGCCACCUCCUGUUUUCAUCCCCAUGAAGGGAUACACUUGGUUGUAUGUAACGAUCCCUCUUGCGUUUUACCUCGUUGAUUGGAGCUGGCGCAGAGUCAGUAGACGCCAGCCCGUUCACGUGACCCGAGUCGUCGUGCACGAACCAGACGUUAUCGAAGUGGUCGUUGAUCGCUGGAUGAGUCAUUCUCAACCCGGACAAUACGUUCUUCUUCAGUGUCCGGUGAUAUCUGGUUUUGAAUGGCAUCCAUUUUCACUCUCAUCGUGUUGUGAUUUGACUCAUGCUAGCUGGACCGUUCACAUGAAAACUAGGGGCGAUUGGUGCAAGCAAUUAAAGAGUCUCCUAGGCGUUGAAGCACGAAGAGAUGACAUCGAACUUUACGUGGAUGGCCCAUUUUCCAGUCCGUUUUGCGGCGUCUUGAACAGUAAAACGGUCAUCUGCAUAGCCGGUGGUAUCGGAUUCACGCCUUUCUUGUGCGUCAUCCACAAUUUAAUACGGAACGGCUGGCAUGCCCGACCGGAUCGCCUGCACAUCGUGUUUUGUGUCCAGACGGCCGAAAGCCUUUUGUGGGCAUCGCCAGCCAUCGAUCAACUGAUUGAGGAUGCCUGGGCCAGUCCUGUUCCGGACAAGCUGGAAAUUAGACUGCACAUAACACGCCCAGCGCCUGGGGGCUCUCAUUCUGGCGGUUUCUCUCCAGUGCGUUGACGAAAAUAGAACUAAAAAAGAAAAUGUAAAAAAUACCCCAAUCUACUUCGGCGACUGGAAUAUGGUCGUCCAAAGUGGUCGGAGCUUUUCACGUCAUGGAAAGAGAGUUAUUCAAGGGAGCGGGUGGACGUUU